rnacentral:rRNA from 1 species
UACAUGGGGUGCAAACGUUGCUCGGAAUUAUUGGGCGUAAAGCGCGCGUAGGCGGUUACUCAAGUCGAAUGUGAAAGCCCUCGGCUUAACUGAGGAAGUGCACCCGAAACUGAGUAGCUAGAGUACUAAAGAGGGUCGCGGAAUUCCCGGUGUAGAGGUGAAAUUCGUAGAUAUUGGGAAGAACACCGGUGGCGAAGGCGGCCAUCUGGACCGCAACUGACGCUGAGGCGCGAAAGCGUGGGGAGCAAACAGG